rnacentral:rRNA from 1 species
UACGAAGGGGGCUAGCGUUGCUCGGAAUCACUGGGCGUAAAGCGCACGUAGGCGGAUUGCUACGUCAGGGGUGAAAUCCUGGAGCUCAACUCCAGAACUGCCUUUGAUACUGGCGAUCUUGAGUCCGGGAGAGGUGAGUGGAACUGCGAGUGUAGAGGUGAAAUUCGUAGAUAUUCGCAAGAACACCAGUGGCGAAGGCGGCUCACUGGCCCGUUACUGACGCUGAGGCACGAAAGCGUGGGGAGCAAACAGG